UGGGAGAUCAAUCCAGUCUGACGGCAGAUGGGGCCCUGGCACAAUACCUCAGACACCUAGCUUAGCUACAACAGCCCCUACACAGAGUUCCAUGGAUCCUGAAUCAGCUUCCCAUGCCAUGUGCCUGGAUGAUGGAAAUACUGUAUGUGGCUGAUUUCUCUACAUUACCAGAUGACGAUUUUCCACAUCAGCAAGCAAUGAGAAAGAUGGGAGCUGUCACUCUCCUCCGCUAACGGCCUUCUGACAGAUCGUGCAUCUUGAUGUAGCAUGGGCUUUUUAUCCCCCAGUGUUUGUGUGAAAGGGAGUGUGGGGUGGGUGGGAGCUAAGGGUAACUGUGUUGUGGGUGGCUCUGUUUUGGGGCUGAGCACUGGUUAUGGGAGAAAAUGGAUCAAAGGGAAAUUUAGGCUGAUUCAUCUCCCCUUCAAGUCCUCUGCUGAGCUACUUUCAGCCCCCGGGUGUGUGGAUCUGUUUGAAAAGCACCAAAUUAAAAUCAAUUCAGCAUUUCA